GUGCUGGCUUCGGCGGCACACAUGCUGCAGAACGGACGGCACAGAGAAGACGAGCGGGCCCCGCACAAGGAUGACACACAGAUUCAUGAGGCGUUCCAUACUUCU